UACGAAGGGUGCAAGCGUUACUCGGAAUUACUGGGCGUAAAGCGUGCGUAGGCGGUUUGUUAAGUCUGUCGUGAAAGCCCCCGGGCUCAACCUGGGAAUGGCGAUGGAUACUGGCGAGCUAGAGUACGGUAGAGGAGAGUGGAAUUCCCGGUGUAGCAGUGAAAUGCGUAGAGAUCGGGAGGAACAUCAGUUGCGAAGGCGGCUCUCUGGACCAGUACUGACGCUGAGGCACGAAAGCGUGGGGAGCAAACAGG
rnacentral:rRNA from 1 species